rnacentral:lncRNA from 1 species
CUCACUUUUAAUUUGAUAAUACAAUGCCAUUAACAGGAAAAAAAACUUUUGAAAUAUCUUGAGAGAAAAAAACCAAAAAAGCUGAAUCUAUGUUCAGAGAAUUGAAUUAGCAAUAGAUAUAAACUACCCAAGUUUUCGUUUUGUGACAUCAAUUUGAGCAAAGCCAGAUUUGUAUUACCCUGAAUGCAUUAAUAACAAUAGUAUCAUUGAAAAAUACUUUCGACUGCCCAUUAGUAAUUGUACUAGGUACUAGAAAACACAAUUUAGUAAUCGCUCCCAGGGAGUCAGUUUUUUGAAUAAAAUAUUUUUCUAUGGUUGUGCACAUUGUGCCAUAAUUUGCUUUGAAAGACAUAAAAUCCAUCAUAUUAAAAAGGUAAUAGAGUAACUCCAUUUAAUAACAGAAAUGGUCAUUAAAAUAUCUACAUUCUUUCUCACAAUGAACUAAUAACUACACAGAUUUGUGCAUGUGUAUGAAGACGUUUAUAUGUGUUUUAUGUGAGAGAAAAAAAUGAAAAAAUGGUAUUUUCUUGUGCUCAGACAAGCACAAUUUUUGCAAAAUAAAUACAAGGCCAAAUAUAUAUAUUUAUUUAUAUAUAUAUAUACUUGUUAUAUAUGUAUAUAUAGGUUAUAUAUAUAUUUGUUAUAUAUAUAACAAAUAUAUAUAUAAUUUGUUAAAUAUAUAACAUUUAUAUAUAUGUAUAUAUAUCUCAAUGCUCUUAACAAUGCUCAUAAGAACACAAUCUGAAAUUACAGUGUCUGCUUAUUUUCAAGGGUGGUUUGAAGGUGACCUA